AGCCGCCGUGCCGCGCCACCCUCUGACCCGUGGCCCCUUUCUCUGUCUCCUCUGUGCAUUCCGGCGCCUUCUUCUCUUUGAACGGCGACGAGCGCCGCCUAAGCCCUAGCUCCCUCAAAUCACGUCACCACCGCUCAUCGACUCACACCAUCCCCAACUCAGUUUCACACACACAACACGAAGGCAGCAAGGUCAAGCUCAACAACAAAACUGAAGAUCAAAGCUUCAAAUGUUGCUCAACCCUUCUUUUUUUUUUAAAAGUUACGCUAUCAUAAAUAUGUAUUUUGUAUAUAAGUUUGAUUAAAAAGAAACUCAAUGAAUGUAUGAAUGCGUGUGAAUCUUUGUUGGAUAGUUAAGAUUUU
rnacentral:lncRNA from 1 species